CGGUGGAGCAUGUGGUUUAAUUUCGUAAGACAACGACGAAGAACCUACUACCAGGUCUUGACAUCCCGAUGCUAUUUCUAGAGAUAGAAAGUUACUUCGGUACAUCGGUGACAGGUGGUGCAUGGUUGUCGUCAGCUCGUGUCGUGAGAUGUUGGGUUAAGUCCCGCAACGAGCGCAACCCCUAUUGUUAGUUGCCAUCAUUCAGUUGGGCACUCUAGCGAGACUGCCGGUAAUAAACCGGAGGAAGGUGGGGAUGACAUCAAAUCAUCAUGCCCCUUAUGACCUGGGCUACACACGUGCUACAAUGGUUGGUACAACGAGUUGCGAGUCGGUGACGGCGAGCUAAUCUCUUAAAGCCAAUCUCAGUUCGGAUUGUAGGCUGCAACUCGCCUACAUGAAGUCGGAAUCGCUAGUAAUCGCGGAUCAGCACGCCGCGGUGAAUACGUUCCCGGGCCUU
rnacentral:rRNA from 1 species